CGAAUAUGUUCUUGAAUUCAUUCGAGACGUAAGCAAAACUCAGAUUGGAGAAGAAUAUGGUCCAUGGGUUCCAUCAUGCCCCUUAUACCCUGGGCGACACACGUGCUACAAUGGACGGGACAAAGGGUCGCGAUCCCGCGAGUGUGAGCUAACUCUAAAAACCCGUCCUCAGUUCGGAUUGCAGGCUACAACUUGCCGAUUCAUGGAUCU
rnacentral:ncRNA from 1 species